CCAGGGAAGGAAACCUCAAGCUGAGAAAAAUGAAGCUGUCCUUCGUGAGUGCUGCUUUGUUGAUUUCUGUGCUCAGCACAGAUGCCCAGCAUUAUGGCCCAGAUCAUCCACCUCCAAUGUACUCUGAGCCCCAGGCCAAGACCUACAGUGUUUCCUCAAAUUAUGAUCCACAGGUCCCUGUUCCCCAACAGUCUAACUAUAAUCAUCCACCUAAUCCUGUCAUGGAGAGCUAUUAUGAUUCAGUUCCCCAUGCACACUAUACACAACCUUUGCCUGCUGACUCUGUUCCUGCUGCUCCUCCUAGUCCUCAAUAUUAUGCUGGCCCUGCAUCAUUUCCCCCUCAACAAGUUUCCUCUACUGCCUAUGCACAAAGUGCCAGUGCUCCCCUUGCACCACAAGUCCCUUGUGCUGGUACACCACAAGCCCCUUGUGCUGGUGCACCACGUGCCCCUAGUGUACCACGUGCCCCUUGUGCCUGUGCACAACAUGCCGCUGCCACUGGUGUACCACGUGCCCCUUGUGCCUGUGCACAACGUGCCCCUGCCACUGGUGUACCACAUGCCCCUUAUCCCUAUGCACUGCGUGCCCCUGCUGCUGGGGUACCACGUGUCCCUGCUGCUGGUGCCAAACGUUCUCCUUGUCCCUGUGCCUCACGUGCUCCUGCUGCUGGUGCACCACAUGCCCCUUGUCCCUGUGCACAUCGUGCUCCUGCUGCUGGUGUACCACGUGCCCCUGCCACCAGUGUACCACGUGCCCCUUGUGCCUGUGCACGUGGCCCUUGUGCCUGUUCACAACGUGCCCCUGCUACUGGUGUACCACGUGCCCCUUGUGCCUGUGUUCGUGCCCCUUGUGCCUGUGCACGUGUCUCUGCCGCCGGUGCACCACGUGCCCCUGCAAAACGUGUUUCUGCACAAUAUACUCGUGCUGCUUUGCCACAUCUUGGGCCUUCCGCCUCCCUUUCAUCCAAUGCUAAACUCCCUGGAACAUCUGAAUUGCCUGUCUCUGAAGGACCUGAGUCUGCUGCCUCUGGAACACCUGGCAACCCUGGAGAAAAGACUUCUGCCUCCACAGAUCAGACAUCUCAGACAUCUUCCCUGAACAAACCUCAGGAAGUAGAAAUCAAAGCAUCUCACUAGGAAUACGUAGCCCAAUCUACGAACUACAUUUCCGGAGAGUAAAACCAGCGUCCACCUUCCACACUUUCUCUUUCCAGCUUCCAUAAUUUCUUCCUAAUCAAUAAUCAAAGGGAAAUUGCCACUUUCAUCUAAGAAGGGCUCCAGCAAUCAUAUGAUUUCGAGGCAGUUUCUCUUAAUUGUGAAUACUGGAAUCUUUACAAGAAUAAACACUUACAAAUAAAUAUAUGCAGCAUCA